CAUCCCUUGUGUAGUUGACAAAACGUUGCUGAUUAUAAUAGAUAUAGUUAAUCCAAUUGACAUUCUUGUUAGCAGUUAUCAUUGGGAUUAGGGACUCAAACCCUGCAGCCACUUCAUCUCUUGCUUUAAAUUCGUUAGGCACCCCCCUUGGCACACCUAUGGCAUCAAUAUACACAUGGGGGUCGAAACUCCCUCGAAUAGGGGUCUCUCGUUUGGUUCUAGAGUGUAUAUGUGUGAGGUUUAGCGUGUUAUGGUCACCAUCUGGAAUAGGCAUUAUGACUUUGGUUAGGGCACACUCCCCCCACCAUUGCCCAGCUAAUUGGGGCCUUAAUUGUUUGUCACCACAUAACCAAUAGAUAUCACCGAU